rfam:Loxodonta africana unplaced genomic scaffold scaffold_7, whole genome shotgun sequence.
GCCCUGGUGGUGCAACAGUUAAGCACUUGGCUGCUAACCAAAAGGUUGGUGGUUCAAACCUAUCCAGGGGCU